rnacentral:sRNA from 1 species
GUCUUCUGGUGCAGAAUAUGCGCCAUGCAAAUAACCGACGUUUUAACGCGUCGGUUAUUUUUUUGC